rnacentral:rRNA from 1 species
UUAUCCUCGGGACGCAGCAGUGGGGAAUAUUGCACAAUGGGGGAAACCCUGAUGCAGCGACGCCGCGUGAGCGAAGAAGUAUUUCGGUAUGUAAAGCUCUGUCAGCAGGGAAGAAAAUGACGGUACCUGACUAAGAAGCCCCGGCUAAAUACGUGCCAGCAGCCGCGGUAAUACGUAUGGGGCAAGCGUUAUCCGGAUUUACUGGGUGUAAAGGGAGCGCAGGCGGCUUGGCAAGUCUGAUGUGAAAGGCUGGGGCGCAACCCCAGGACUGCAUUGGAAACUGUUAGGCUAGAGUGUCGGAGAGG